rnacentral:rRNA from 1 species
UUCCGGUUUGAACUCAGAUCAUGUGCGAAAAAGAGGUCGAACAGACCUUUUAUUCCUAAUUUCUGCUUUAGGAAGAAUUCGCAAUUCAACAUCGAGGUCGCAAACAAUUAUUUUAAUAUGGGCUUUAAUAAUUAUUACGCUGUUAUCCCUAGAGUACCUUUUUCACCUAGUUUUAUUAAGAUCAGUUUAGUUCAAAAUACUUUCAUUUUUAUU